CCGUCAAUCACUUCAUUUCCUCACCAAGUUUCAUAGUUGCUAUUCCUUUACCCACAGGGAAAUAUUAGUCAUCCAAAUAGUCCGUUUUAUAUAACUCGGGAGUGUUGUAACAUUCUUUUGGGUCUCAGGGGGAAAACAGCUCACAGUGAUACAGUUUCCCAGUCCAGCGGAACAAAUGGGAAGCCUGGAGAAGCCAUCUGGAGGCUACCCUCUGCAGGGAGCCAUCAGGACUCAGCAGCACACGGUUUCCACCUGAACUCUACCGGUCUGUUACCGAGCAGAAAGCUCACCUUCUCUGUGCUGCUGUGCUGGGAUUAAAAGCAUGCGUCGUCACCACGGCAUGGCUUUGACUUGGGAAAUGUAAUGUCAACUCUUCCCCUGCCUGAGUGAAGUCAUCUUGCUGUGAUGCUGUAGCUCCACGGUGCUGGGGCUGAUGAAACUGGGCAGCCAGCGAUGGUGAGUGAGAGGAUGAGCAUCAGGCUUUAGUCAGGGUGUAUUUUAUAUCAGGACUUCUCAACGUUCUGCUGCUGGAAACCCACAUGCGACCGCAACUUGGGACCUCUGUGCUUGUGUCAGUGUCUUAGAAUCUCGAAUCCUGUGGUGGCGGCGGCGGCGGCACACGCCCUUUAAUCCCAGCACUUGGGAAGCAGAGGCAAGUGGAUCUCUGUAAGAUUGAGGCCAGCCUGCUCUACAAAGGUCAUUCCAGGACACUGUUACACGGAGAAACCCUCUCUUGAAAAACCGGAAGGAAGGAAGGAAGGAAGGAAGGAAGGAAGGAAGGAAGGAAGGAAGGAAGGAAGGAAGGAGUUGGUGGCGCACCUUUAAUCCCAGCACUCGGGAGGCAGAGGCAGGCGGAUCUCUGUGAGUUCGCGGCCAGCCUGAUCUCCAAAGCAAGUACCAGGACAGUCUCCAAAGCCACAGGGAAACCCUGUCUCGAAAACAAAACAAAACAAAACAAAACAAAACAAAAAAGGAAGGAAGGAAGGAAGGAAGGAAGGAAGGAAGGAAGGAAAGGAAGAAAGAAAGAAAGAAAGAAAGAAAGAAAGAAAGAAAGAAAGAAAGAAACUCAAGUCCUCCUCUUGGUCAGACAAAAGGGUGAACACAGGACUAUGGAGCCAGCCACCUCUUUCAUCCCCACUGUGUUCCAAUGUUUAAAUCAAGGACUGUAGACAACCUAUGUGAGUUACCAAGCUGGGACAGUGGGAAGAGCCUGCACCUUCCAGCCCCGGCUUGCAUGGGAUGCUACAGCGGAAGAGAACAUGGUCAGCAGACAGCAGCGCAUGCCACGAACAAGAGCGAG
rnacentral:lncRNA from 1 species